CCCACCCCCAAAUUCCUCUUUUACAAAGAACUAUUUCUUUUUCUCUCUCAUCAUUCGUCUUCUUCAUUGAAAAAGAAAAUCAACAUAACUCUUCCACAUGCAUAUGAUUGAAUACUGGGAGGAGAUUUACACACGAAGAAUGUGGAGAAAGCCUAAUAAGAAUGCAAUUCCGACGAAAAAAAGUAGUACUUCUUAAAGAAUAAACGAAUUAUAGGAAAGGAGAAGAAAAGUGAAGCAAAGAAAAUUGGAAAUUCUCCUAAUAAAAAGGGAUUAAAGAGGAAAGGGAAAAUGGUGGAACCCUCUUCUGAUUCGUACUCAGAUUUUGUAAGCGAGAAAAAAAAGAAAAAAUUCAACAAAUGCAGAGCUCAUCGAAAUCGGCUCAUAGUGGUAGUUCUUCAUGGUUAAGCUCGUUGUCCCAGUUCCUACCCUAUAAAAGUCCAAUUUGGAGACUCUCUCCUUCACUCCUUGCAUCUCGAGUUUGGUUGAAACCCAAAACUCUUCCUUCUUCGAGUCAAAUUUGCUAUUGUUUCCAAGUUUAGAAAGUUGCUACAAAAUAAAAGGAAGCCAAGGCAUGCUAAAAUAUAGCUUCUACAUGUUUGGAAGACAUAAAUACGAGUCUCUAUACAUUCAAUAUACACUAGUAUACAUCAGAUGUAUACAAAAAUGGGAAUUGAGCAAAGAGGCCCAAUUGCAGCAGUUCUUGGGGUUUAAUUUGGGCUGAAACCCAAGUUAUUUACAACAACUAGACUUGAGCCUAAGUCAAUCACUUUCUUAGCUAUUUAACUUAUACUUAUUACUUAUUUGUGAUUUGUUUGUUUUAACUCUAACCCUUUAUUUGAUUUGGUUUAAUUAAAUUAGAUUUCC